CCCAGAUCCGAAAAGCAGAAAAUCAGAAACACGCACCAAACCCAAAUCUGAAUCACACAUCCCUUCCCCUCCAUCUUCUUCGUCAUUCUUUUUUCUCACGCUCUCAUAUCCCGCUCCAUUGCCUCUUAAAUCCAAUCCAGGCCCAAAAACCCUAAUACCCAAAACACAAAUCCUAACCCCUCAGCUCCAAUACCCACAUCUCUUAUGCUCUGCUCUCGAUUUUGUACUUUUAUGUUCUGUGUUUGUGUGAAUUGACGAUUGUCUUAAUUUUUAUGAGGUUUGAGUUGAUUUUUCGAUCCAUGAUAGAUUUCCAAAUGCCCGGGUAGAAAUUUUGGUUUCCAAAUCGGCAAGCUGAGCAUGAAUCUUAUUUUUAGUUCAUCCUCGCGACUUUGCUUUGCCUCGUUUUGAAAGGUUUAGCAAAUAAUUGCUAGUUGUAGAGGUUUUGGUUUCCGGUACAUUUAGUUAAACUGGGUUAGGGAUUGUGGAAUUUGGCUGGUAAUGCUGCUCAGUGCUCACUCUCAG